UGUUGCUGGCUCCUUGGAGCAUGUGCACGCCUAGCGCCAUUUUUACCACCUGUGCACCCUUUGUAGACUUGGAUACCUCUCGAGGAAACUCGGUUUUGGGGACUGCCGUGCGAAAGCCGGCUUUCCUUGCAUUUCCAGUCUAUGUCUUUAUAUACCCCAUAAGAAUGUAACAGAAUGUUAUUAACUGGCCUUUGUGCCUUUAAUCAAAUACAACUUUCAGCAACGGAUCUCUUGGCUCUCGCAUCGAUGAAGAACGCAGCGAAAUGCGAUAAGUAAUGUGAAUUGCAGAAUUCAGUGAAUCAUCGAAUCUUUGAACGCACCUUGCGCUCCCUGGUAUUCCGGGGAGCAUGCCUGUUUGAGUGUCAUUAAAUUCUCAACCUUUCCAGCUUUUACUAGCUUGGUCAGGCUUGGAUGUGGGGGUUGCGGGCUUCUCAGAAGUCGGCUCUCCUUAAAUGCAUUAGUGAAACCUUUGUUGACCAUCUCUGGUGUGAUAAUUAUCUAUGCCGUUGUAAGGUCUUCAGUUAUGAGGUUCUGCUUCUAACUGUCCUCUCGGGGACAACU
rnacentral:rRNA from 1 species